rnacentral:lncRNA from 1 species
AUAAGGGAUUACACAGAAUUAUGUGAUAAUAGCACAGUGGAGAACGGACAGACAGAAGGACGCACAUCAGGCGUGGUGGAUUUGGAUUCAGUGGUCACUUUAAAAUAGGUGGGUCUCAGGCCUACAUAGAAUCAAUCACUUUUCCUAUAUCAAAACAAUACCAAGAACUAGAAAUUCUAAAAAAAUUCUCCAACUUCUAUCAUUUUUGUCCUUGAUUUCACCUUCACUACCUUAAUUUAGAACAUCCUAUCUCUCACUUUUAGAUCUUACCAUAUUUUCCUAACCGAUCUCCAUGUUUCCGCUCUUGAUCCCUUUUAAUCCAUUCUCUACGAAGCAGCCUGAACAAUCUUUAUGUAGGGCAGUUUGAUCAUAUAACUGCUCUUCAAAUACCCAUCAGGGGCUUCCCAACAUAAGGUUAUUUUUCAUAUGGUCUGCUUGUCUCCUAAAUCUCUUUUCUUUCCCCAGGAACAUUAGGCUCCAUCAAUAUGGAACCAGGUUUUCCAGAAUUUUCCACGUUUUCUCUACUAGACGAUGAACUCCUUGAACGAUGAUGUCUGUAACGUAGAAAAUGCUUAAUAAGGGCUCGCCAAAUUGAAGUGGACUUCACAUACCUGCUCUUGCCAUAAGCACGCCGGUUUCAAACUUGCUGCUUUCUUUACAUGGCAGUUGCUUUUUCUCCUGACGCUGCAUGAGGCUCCAGGAAUAAAGGCGCUCAGAAGAGAAGGUGGAUUUGUACAAGGCCUUCAUGACAGGAGGGAGCCAGUUAGGAUGAGAGCAGAAUCGCCCUCCUCAGCUGUGCCCACAGAGCCCUUGGCUGAGGCCGGGCUCAGGGCUGCCUGCUUUCACCGCUCCCACCGCUUCUUUACCUCCCACAUCCUAUUUGUUUUUAUCAAGCCUUCUUUUCGGAUAUUCAGAGACAAACUCAAUCAAAACCUUGUCUGGAGAUUUGCAGAGAUCCUCAGGUUUGGACUUGCCUCAGGCAAGGAUGUGACGGGCUGA